CUCCAAAGUGUUGAGUUCAGUUCAGGGCAACUUCCCUGUUCUGUUAAUUAAACUUUGGGACAUUGAAAUUGGCUGAGGGAAAUUACUGAAUAGAGAAUAUUACUCUAUUCAUAUACUUCUAGCCUACACAA
ensembl:snoRNA LOC120095732 small nucleolar RNA SNORA36 family